GAUGAACGCUGGCGGCGUGCUUAACACAUGCAAGUCGAACGCAUCCUUCGGGGUGAGUGGCAGACGGGUGAGUAACGCGUGGGAACGUGCCCUUCAGUUCGGGACAACCCAGGGAAACUUGGGCUAAUACCGGAUACGUGCGAGAGCAGAAAGAUUUAUCGCUGAAGGAUCGGCCCGCGUCUGAUUAGCUAGUUGGUGGGGUAAUGGCCCACCAAGGCGACGAUCAGUAGCUGGUCUGAGAGGAUGAUCAGCCACAUUGGGACUGAGACACGGCCCAAACUCCUACGGGAGGCAGCAGUGGGGAAUAUUGGACAAUGGGGGCAACCCUGAUCCAGCCAUGCCGCGUGAGUGAAGAAGGUCUUCGGAUUGUAAAGCUCUUUUGCCAGGGACGAUAAUGACGGUACCUGGAGAAUAAGCCCCGGCAAACUUCGUGCCAGCCGCCGCGGUAA
rnacentral:rRNA from 1 species